GGAGGGUGCGAGCGUUAUCCGGAUUUACUGGGCGUAAAGCGCGUGCAGGCGGAUUGGAGAGUUGGAUGUGAAAGCUCCCGGCUCAACUGGGAGAGGUCGUUCAAUACUUCCAGUCUUGAGUGCAGUAGAGGGAAGUGGAAUUCCAGGUGUAGUGGUGAAAUGCGUAGAUAUCCGGAGGAACACCAGUGGCGAAAGCGGCUUCCUGGACUGUAACUGACGCUCAGACGCGAAAGCUAGGGUAGCAAACGGGAUUAGAGACCCCGGUAGUCCUAGCUGUAAACGAUGUAGACUUGGCGCAGGAGGGUUUAAAUCCUUCUGUGCCGCAGCAAACGCGAUAAGUCUACCGCCUGGGGACUACGGCCGCAAGGUUAAAACUCAAAGGAAUUGACGGGGGCCCGCACAAGCAGCGGAGCGUGUGGUUUAAUUCGAUGUUACACGAAGAACCUUACCAGGGUUUGACAUGCAGGUGGUAGGGAACCGAAAGGGGACCGACUCUUCGGAGAGCCUGCACAGGUGCUGCAUGGCUGUCGUCAGCUCGUGUCGUGAGAUGUUCGGUUAAGUCCGCUAACGAGCGCAACCCUCGCUGUGUGUUAUACGUGUCACACGGGACUGCCGGUCUUAAGCCGGAGGGAGGUGGGGAUGACGUCAAGUCAGCAUGGCCUAUAUAUCCUGGGCUACACACACGCUACAAUGGCCAACACAACAGGUCGCGAAACCGCGAGGUGGAGCCAAUCCCCAAAGUUGGUCUCAGUUCAGAUCGCAGAAAUGCAACCCGCCUGCGUGAAGACGGAGUUGCUAGUAACCGCAGGUCAGCUAUACUGCGGUGAAUACGUUCCCGGGCCUU
rnacentral:rRNA from 1 species